rnacentral:misc_RNA from 1 species
UCCGGUUUGUCACCGGCAGUCUGGCGUGAGUCCCCAACUUAAUGCUGGCAACACGCCACGGGGGUUGCGCUCGUUGCGGGACUUAACCCAACAUCUCACGACACGAGCUGACGACAGCCAUGCAGCAUCUGUGGUGCACCCUCGAAGGUCACACGUUUCCGUGCGCUUGCAGCACCAUGUCAAGCCCAGGUAAGGUUCUUCGCGUAGCAUCGAAUUAAAGAACAUGCUCCGCUGCUUGUGCGGGCCCCCGUCAAUUCUUUUGAGUUUCAACCUUGCGGUCGUACUUCCCAGGUGGGGAUGACGUAACUUACAGCGUAC